rnacentral:rRNA from 1 species
UACGUAGGUGGCAAGCGUUGUCCGGAAUUAUUGGGCGUAAAGCGCACGUAGGCGGAUCUUUAAGUCAGGGGUGAAAUCCCGAGGCUCAACCUCGGAACUGCCUUUGAUACUGGGGAUCUCGAGUCCGGGAGAGGUGAGUGGAACUGCGAGUGUAGAGGUGAAAUUCGUAGAUAUUCGCAAGAACACCAGUGGCGAAGGCGGCUCACUGGCCCGGAACUGACGCUGAGGUGCGAAAGCGUGGGGAACAAACAGG